UGCGCAUGCGCACGCCUAUGGCUCGCUGGGGUAAGCUGCAUACAGGUCCUUGUGAGUUGCGCGAGACCGGAAGCCUUUACUUAACGUCACAAAGAGAAGCAUCAAACAGCAGUCAUACCCUAUUAUCCUGAUAGCUGGCACGGAGCUGAAGGUAGCUGAUACAGAGCCUGAAAUAGUGCUUCAGUCAACAUGUAUCAUGCAGAUGGAGGCCGAUGGAUGCGACGGUCCAGCCACCACAGGGGAUCUUCCAGGUCCCAACGGAGAGGGGAAUGAUGGGCCUUCCCUGGUGGAGCAGUGGUUGAGAAUCUGCCUGCCAAUGCAGGGGACAUGGGUUCGAGCCCUGGUCUGGGAAGAUCCCACAUGCCGUGGAGCAACUGGGCCCGUGAGCCACAACUACUGAGCCUGCGCGUCUGGAGCCUGUGCUCCGCAACAAGAGAGGCCGCGAUAGUGAGAGGCCCGCGCACUGCGAUGAAGAGUGGCCCCCGCUUGCCACAACUAGAGAAAGCCCUCGCACAGAAACGAAGACCCAACACAGCCAUAAAUAAAUAAAUUAAUUAAUUAAAAAAAAAAAGGAAUGAUGGAAUGCUUAUGAUCAUAUAUGCUAAUGGACAUAGUAUCAGGAAUGUUGGGAUGGGAAAUAUUUCAUGAAGUUGAUUUUUCAUGCAUUUAGUGAGCCAAGUUUGUGAUUUCCAAUGAUUAAAAAUGCACUCAGUAGAAUCACUGUUUGCAAACCAAACUUCAUGUAAUACUUCAAUGGAGAAAGUUGGAACUCUAUAUCAGUUAUACAGUAACUCCCCGUAGCUUCUCCCCCAACAACUGGAAACCAUCAUUCUACUUUCCGUCUCUAUUAUAAGAACUUCAUAUAAGUGGAGUCAUAUAGUAUUUGUCUUUUUGUGAUUGGCUUAUUUGACUUGGCUUAAUGUCCUCAGGGUUCAUCCCUGUUGUAGCAUAUGUCAGAAUUUCCUUCCUUUAUAAGGCUGAAUCAUAAAUCAUUGUAUGUAUAUAACACAUUUUGUUUAUCCAUUCAUCCAUCAAUAGACACUUGGGUUACUUCUAAGAUUCAGCUCUUGUAAAUAAUGUUGCUAUGAACGUGGGUUCAUAAACAUCUCUUUGAGACUCUGCUUUUAAUUCUUUUGGUUAGAUAUCUAGAAGUGGAAUUGCUGGAUCAUAUGGCAAUUCUAUUUCUAACUUUUUGUGAAACUGCCAUACUGUUUUCCACAACAGCUGUACCAUUUUACAUUCCCACCAACAGUGCAAAAGGAUUCCAAUUUCUCUACAUACUCACCAACACUGUUGGUUAUUUAUUUAUUUGUUUGUUUAUUUAUUUAUUUAUUUGUCACCCUAAUGGAUGUGAAGUGAUGUCUCAUUGUGAUAUAUAUGGGGUGAAAUUUCACUGUAAUUUUGAUUUGCAUUUACCUAAUGUUUAGUGAUGUGCAACAUAUUUACAUGUGCUUAUUAGUCAUUUAUAUAUCUUUGGAGAAAUAUCUACAGAAGUCCCUUGCCCAGUUUUGAAUCAUGGUUUUUUUUUAUUAUUGAGUUUUAGGAGUUCUCUAUCUAUUCUGGAUUUUAAUCCCUUAUCAGAUAUAUGAUUUUCAAAUAUUUUCUCUCACUCUGUGGGUUGCCUUUUUACUCUGUUCAUAGUGUCUUUUGAUCCACAAAAUUUUAAAUUUUUCAUCAAGUUCAGUUUGUCUCUUUUUUCUUUGGUUGCCUGUGCCUUUGGUGUCAUAUCCAAGAAAUCAUUGCCAAACCCAGUGCUAUGAAUCUUUUGCCCUAUGUUUUCUUCUAAGAGUUUUAUAAUUUGAGGUCUUAUGUAUAGGUACAUUUUGAAUUAUUUUUUGUAUAUGGUGUUAGAUAAAGGUCUAACUUCAUUCUUUUGCAUGUGGAUAUCUAGUUACCCCAGCACCAUUUGUUGAAGAGACAGACUGUCCUUUCCCCAUUGAAUGGUCUUGGCUCUCCAGUUGAAAAUCAUUUGA